UGAGUACAAGAUGCUACGGCAUUGAAGCAGUCUAUGUCAUACUUCCAAGAAAAGCUUGCAAUGUCAUAAACAAAUAAUGCCUGUACCAUAACCGACACAGGUGGGUAGGUAGAGUAUACUAAGGGGCGCGAGAUAACUCUCUCUAAGGAACUCGGCAAAAUGACUCCGUAACUUCGGGAGAAGGAGUACCUUAUUUUAUAAGGUUGCAAUAACAAGGUCCAAGCAACUGUUUACCAAAAACACAGGUCUCCGCUAAGUCGUAAGACGAUGUAUGGGGGCUGACGCCUGCCCAGUGCCAGAAGGUUAAAGAAGUUGGUUAGCAUUAGCGAAGCUGAUAACUGAAGCCCUGGUGAACGGCGGCCGUAACGAUAACGGUCCUAAGGUAGCGAAAUUCCUUGUCGGGUAAGUUCCGACCCGCACGAAAGGCGUAAUGAUUUGGAUACUGUCUCGGAGAGGGGCUCGGUGAAAUAGACUUGUCUGUGAAGAUGCGGACUACCUGCACCUGGACAGAAAGACCCUAUGAAGCUUUACUGUAACUUGAGAUUGAAAUUGGACUUUAUUUGCGCAGUAUAGGUUGGAGACCUCGAAAGUAUUCUUGCGGGAAUAUUGGAGUCAUCAGUGAGAUACCACUCUUAUAAUGUUAGAUUUCUAACUUUGUAUCAUUAUCUGGUCAAAGAACAGUUUCAGGCGGGCAGUUUGACUGGGGCGGUCGCCUCCCAAAUGGUAACGGAGGCGCACAAAGGUUUCCUCUGAACGUGUAGAAAUCGUAUCUAGAGUGUAAAGGCAUAAGGAAGCUUGACUGUGAGACCUACAAGUCGAGCAGGGACGAAAGUCGGUCUUAGUGAUCUGACGGUGCUGAGUGGAAAGGCCGUCACUCAACGGAUAAAAGUUACUCUAGGAUAACAGGCUGAUCUCCCCCAAGAGUUCACAUCGACGGGGAGGUUUGGCACCUCGAUGUCGGCUCAUCGCAUCCUGGGGCGGUAGUACGUCCCAAGGGUUGGGCUGUUCGCCCAUGAAAGCGGUACGCGAGCUGGGUUCAGAACGUCGUGAGACAGUUCGGUCCAUAUCCGGUGUAGGCGUUAGAAUAUUGAGAGGAGCCUUCUUUAGUACGAGAGGACCGAGAAGGACAUACCUCUGGUGUACCAGUUAUCGUGCCAACGGUAAACGCUGGGUAGCUAUGUAUGGAGAGGAUAACCGCUGAAAGCAUCUAAGUGGGAAGCCCACCUCAAGAUAAGUAUUCU
rnacentral:rRNA from 1 species